CCUACGGGGGGCUGCAGUGGGGAAUAUUGGACAAUGGGGGCAACCCUGAUCCAGCCAUGCCGCGUGUGUGAAGAAGGCCCUCGGGUUGUAAAGCACUUUCAGUGAGGAAGAACGCCUGGUGGUUAAUACCCAUCAGGAAAGACAUCACUCACAGAAGAAGCACCGGCUAACUCCGUGCCAGCAGCCGCGGUAAUACGGAGGGUGCGAGCGUUAAUCGGAAUUACUGGGCGUAAAGCGCGCGUAGGUGGCUUGAUAAGCCGGUUGUGAAAGCCCCGGGCUCAACCUGGGAACGGCAUCCGGAACUGUCAAGCUAGAGUGCAGGAGAGGAAGGUAGAAUUCCCGGUGGAGCGGUGAAAUGCGUAGAGAUCGGGAGGAAUACCAGUGGCGAAGGCGGCCUUCUGGACUGACACUGACACUGAGGUGCGAAAGCGUGGGUAGCAAACAGGAUUAGAUACCCCAGUAGUC
rnacentral:rRNA from 1 species